UGGGGAAUUUUUCGCAAUGGGCGCAAGCCUGACGGAGCAAUACUGCGUGGAGGAUGAAGGCUCGUGGGUCGUAAACUCCUUUUCCCAGAGAAGAAGUUCUGACGGUAUCUGGGGAAUAAGCAUUGGCUAACUACGUG
rnacentral:rRNA from 1 species